rnacentral:misc_RNA from 1 species
AACAAGGCGUACCUGCGGACCUGCGGAAGGAUCAUUACCAGAGAGCCUUUUGGCACUCCAACCCAUUGUGAACAUACCUAUCGUUCCCUCGGCGGGCUCAGCGCGCGGGGCCUCCGGGCUUCCGGGCGUCCGCCGGGGACAACCAAACCCUGAUUUACUACGUGUAUCUCUGAGGGGCGAAAGCCCGAAAACAAAAUAAAUCAAAACUUUUAACAAUGGAUCUCAGAUCGGAAGAGCACA